rnacentral:rRNA from 1 species
AGUUCGAUCCUGGCUCAGGAUGAACGCUGGCGGCAUGCCUAAUACAUGCAAGUCGAACGGAGUGAAGCCUUCGGGUUUCAUUCAGUGGCGAACGGGUGAGUAAUACGCAGGGAACCUGGCCAUGGCAGGGGGAUACACUCUGGAAACGGAGCAUAAGACCCCAUAGGCAGUAAGGCGGCAUCGCCUUACUGUUAAAGAAAGCUGAAAGGCUUUGGCGAUGGAUGGACCUGCGGUGCAUUAGCUUGUUGGUGAGGCAACGGCUUACCAAGGCGAUGAUGCAUAGCCGGCCUGAGAGGGCGGACGGCCACACUGGGACUGAGACACGGCCCAGACUCCUGCGGGAGGCAGCAGUAGGGAAUUUUCGUCAAUGGGCGCAAGCCUGAACGAGCAAUGCCGCGUGAGUGAGGAAGGUCUUCGGACUGUAAAGCUCUGUUGCCGGGGAAAAAGGGGAAAUGCAGGAAAUGGCAUUUCAUGGAUGGUACCCGGCCAGAAAGCCACGGCUAACUACGUGCCAGCAGCCGCGGUAAUACGUAGGUGGCGAGCGUUAUCCGGAAUGAUUGGGCGUAAAGGGCGCGCAGGCGGUCUGUUAAGUCUGAAGGCAAAGGGAUGAGCUCAACUCAUUUAUGAUUCAGAAACUGGCAGACUUGAGGACAGGAGAGGGCGGUGGAACUCCAUGUGUAGCGGUAAAAUGCGCAGAGAUAUGGAAGAACACCAGUGGCGAAGGCGGCCGCCUGGCCUGUGACUGACGCUGAGGCACGAAAGCGUGGGGAGCAAAUAGGAUUAGAUACCCUAGUAGUCCACGCCGUAAACGAUGAGGAGCAGGUGUUGGGAGUGAAAUCUCAGUGCCGAAGCCAACGCAGUGACUCCUCCGCCUGGGGAGUAUGCACGCAAGUGUGAAACUCAAAGGAAUUGACGGGGGCCCGCACAAGCGGUGGAGUAUGUGGUUUAAUUCGAAGCAACGCGAAGAACCUUACCAGGUUUUGACAUCGGAUGCGAAGGCGCAGAGAUGCGCUGGAGGCUAUCAUCCAGACAGGUGGUGCAUGGUUGUCGUCAGCUCGUGUCGUGAGAUGUUCAGUUAAGUCUGGCAACGAGCGCAACCCCCGUGGUAUGUUACUAACGCUUUAGGGCGAGGACUCAUAUCAGACUGCCGGUGACAAACCGGAGGAAGGCGGGGAUGACGUCAAAUCAUCAUGCCCCUUAUGACCUGGGCUACACACGUACUACAAUGGCGUCUACAGAGGGAAGCGACCCUGAGAAGGGAAGCGAAACCGGAAAAGGGCGUCCCAGUUCGGAUUGAAGUCUGCAACCCGACUUCAUGAAGAUGGAAUCGCUAGUAAUCGCGGAUCAGCAUGCCGCGGUGAAUACGUUCCCGGGCCUUGUACACACCGCCCGUCAAACCAUGGAAGCCGGCAACGCCCGAAGCCGGUGGCAUAACCUUUUAGGAGUGAGCCGUCGAAGGCGGGGCCGAUGACUGGGGUUAAGUCGUAACAAGGUACCC